rnacentral:rRNA from 1 species
AUGUGGUUAAGUUACUAAGGGCACACGGUGGAUGCCUUGGCGCUAGGAGCCGAAGAAGGACGCAGCGAACUGCGAUAAGCCUCGGGGAGCGGUAAGCACGCUUUGAUCCGGGGAUCUCCGAAUGGGGAAACCCACCAUCUGUAAUGGGAUGGUAUCCAUCACUGAAUACAUAGGUGAUGAGAAGGCAGACCCGGUGAACUGAAACAUCUAAGUAGCCGGAGGAAGAGAAAACAAUAGUGAUUCCGUCAGUAGUGGCGAGCGAACGCGGAAGAGCCUAAACCGUCGGGUUUACCCGGCGGGGUUGUGGGGCGUCUCACAUGGAGUUACAAAAGACGCGCGUAGGUGAACAGCUUGGGAAAGCUGACCAUAGAGCGUGAUAGUCGCGUACCCUAAACGCGCGUCUCUCCGAGACCAACCCCGAGUAGCGCGGGACACGUGAAA